rnacentral:rRNA from 1 species
UACGUAGGGGGCAAGCGUUGUCCGGAUUUAUUGGGCGUAAAGAGCGUGUAGGCGCCAGGUAGGUCCGCUGUGAAAACUCGAGGCUCAACCUCGAGAUGUCGGCGGAAACCACUUGGCUAGAAUCCGGAAGAGGUGAGUGGAAUUCCUGGUGUAGCGGUGAAAUGCGCAGAUAUCAGGAGGAACACCAAUGGCGAAGGCAGCUCACUGGGACGGUACUGACGCUGAGACGCGAAAGCGUGGGGAGCAAACAGG